AGUGAACGCUGGCGGUAGGCCUAACACAUGCAAGUCGAACGGCAGCACAGUAAGAGCUUGCUCUUACGGGUGGCGAGUGGCGGACGGGUGAGGAAUACAUCGGAAUCUACUUUUUCGUGGGGGAUAACGUAGGGAAACUUACGCUAAUACCGCAUACGACCUACGGGUGAAAGCAGGGGAUAUUCGGACCUUGCGCGAUUGAAUGAGCCGAUGUCGGAUUAGCUAGUUGGCGGGGUAAAGGCCCACCAAGGCGACGAUCCGUAGCUGGUCUGAGAGGAUGACCAGCCACACUGGAACUGAGGCACGGUCCAGACUCCUACGGGAGGCAGCAGUGGGGAAUAUUGGACAAUGGGCGCAAGCCUGAUCCAGCCAUACCGCGUGGGUGAAGAAGGCCUUCGGGUUGUAAAGCCCUUUUGUUGGGAAAGAAAAGCAGCAGGUUAAUACCCCGCUGUUCUGACGGUACCCAAAGAAUAAGCACCGGCUAACUUCGUG
rnacentral:rRNA from 1 species